rnacentral:rRNA from 1 species
AAACCAACAGGGAUUGCCUCAGUAACGGCGAGUGAAGCGGCAACAGCUCAAAUUUGAAAUCUGGCCUCACGGUCCGAGUUGUAAUUUGUAGAGGAUGCUUUUGGCGAGGUGCUUUCCGAGUUCCCUGGAACGGGACGCCAUAGAGGGUGAGAGCCCCGUACGGUAAGACCACCGAGCCUCUGUAAAGCUCCUUCGACGAGUCGAGUAGUUUGGGAAUGCUGCUCUAAAUGGGAGGUGUACGUCUUCUAAAGCUAAAUACCGGCCAGAGACCGAUAGCGCACAAGUAGAGUGAUCGAAAGAUGAAAAGCACUUUGAAAAGAGGGUUAAAAAGUACGUGAAAUUGUUGAAAGGGAAGCAUUCAUGACCAGACUUGGGCUUGGUUGAACAUCCGGCGUUCUCGCCGGUGCACUCUGCCAGUCCAGGCCAGCAUCAGUUUGCCCCGGGGGACAAAGGCGGUGGGAAUGUGGCUCCCUUCGGGGAGUGUUAUAGCCCGCCGUGUAAUGCCCUGGGGCGGACUGAGGAACGCGCUCGGCAC